CCUUAUUAAGAGCGGCUGAGGGAACAGGCCCCAUGAAGCCCGGCAACCUGGUAUUAUACCAAGGUGCUAAAUCCUGCGGUGCAGACCGGAAGAUAAG
rnacentral:ncRNA from 1 species